GCACUUUUACAGCAAGCGUCAUACACGGCCCUGAGUCAGACAGCGGAGCAGCAGAGUGGAGCCCUACACAGCGCUGCAGACAGACAGGACCCAGCAGCACGUGGCUGCAGCCUAGCCUAUCUCACAGGAAGUCGCAGGCACAUGCACUUGUCACCACUUUCCAAAAAAAUAAUAAAUGAAAAAACACCGCCAAGCCUACGGGUGGUUUUGUCUUUGACGAGGAAGAUCUUUUGAAUGAAUGGCGCUGCCGGGUUCUAUUUCACACACAGAGUAGAGGCCAGCCGUACCCUGGCAGAGUCGAAGAGACUGGAAAGAAGAUGAGAAAGAACGAAGAACAGAGAAGAGCUGCAGUUCCAGUGCUGUUGUGUCCUCUCAGUGAGGCUGUGAAGGGCACAGUAACAGCAGGCGAGGUGGGGAAGGGGAACAAGCCCAGUAACAGUGAGGAAAUGAGAGUGACCCGAGCUGCUGAUCAGAACAGAGCCCCUCUGGCUGGCUCAGACCACCUGGGGAUUCCCUGGGACUAACCCACAGCAGAAGCAACAGCCAACUAAAGUGCUGAAACAUCAACACUCGGAUCGCCUGCAGCUACAGUGUGUGUGUGUGUGUGUGUGUGUGUGUGUGUGUGUAGUGUGCUAACUGUAGAGGGAAUAAAAACUGAGGCAGGAGUAUUGCUGACUUACUGGGUAUUUUGUCAUGAAGUAUUAUUUUACCACCCAUUAUCAGCCUUAGGAAUGUCUGGAUCCAAGUCAUUAUGUAAUGAACCAGAGAGCAACACAGGCAGAAUAAGUACAUGUAAUUUCUUUACACAAGGAUCCAUUUACUGGCAUUAUAUCUCCUGUUUAAGCAAGAAAUAAUCUUAAAAUGGCAGCUUCUAACUAACUAACCAGAAUAGUAAACACAGCCAGCAAAGUAAUUGGUCGACCACAUGCACAGUCUGUUCCACAAGGCAACCAAAAGGAAGGCACUGGCUGUUGUUGGCGACCCCUACCACCACCUACACACUCAGCUUGAGAGGCUUCCCUCUGGCCGGCGCUUCCGAAUGCCCCUGGCCAAGGCGUUUCAAACAUUCAUUAACUCCUUGUGGACUACUAAAGGCAAUAUAAAUUGUAUUGGUAUAUGUAUUUAUCUAUCCAGUGAAGUUGGGGCAGCAGUCAGUUGUGAGUGAAUGUUUAACAUCAAUGUCCUAUGUUUUUAGUGUAUGCAGUAUGACGGAGUGACUGAUUUAAAUGUGUGUGACGUGAGAAUGUAUUCGGAUGUGAUCCUUUUAAUGUGAGGUGAUGCCAAAGAAAAAUGUCCAUCCUGGAUGGACAAUAAAGUUGUAUUAUAUUCUA